rnacentral:rRNA from 1 species
GACGUAGGGCGCGAGCGUUUGUCCGGAAUUAUUGGGCGUAAAGAGCUCGUAGGUGGUUUGUCGCGUUGUUCGUGAAAUCUCACGGCUUAACUGUGAGCGUGCGAGCGAUACGGGCAGACUGGAGUACUGCAGGGGGGGACUGGAAUUCCUGGUGUAGCGGUGGAAUGCGCAGAUAUCAGGAGGAACACCGGUGGCGAAGGCGGGUCUCUGGGCAGUAACUGACGCUGAGGAGCGAAAGCGUGGGGAGCGAACAGG